UACGUAGGGUGCAAGCGUUAAUCGGAAUUACUGGGCGUAAAGCGUGCGCAGGCGGUUAUGCAAGACAGAUGUGAAAUCCCCGGGCUCAACCUGGGAACUGCAUUUGUGACUGCAUAGCUAGAGUACGGUAGAGGGGGAUGGAAUUCCGCGUGUAGCAGUGAAAUGCGUAGAUAUGCGGAGGAACACCGAUGGCGAAGGCAAUCCCCUGGACCUGUACUGACGCUCAUGCUCGAAAGCGUGGGGAGCAAACAGG
rnacentral:rRNA from 1 species